rnacentral:tRNA from 1 species
AUUUAGGUAAUUUAAUAUAAAAUUCUAGUUUGUGGUUCUAGAAAUGUAAAGUUUUACUCUAAAUU